AACGAACGCUGGCGGCAGGCCUAACACAUGCAAGUCGAACGCCCCGCAAGGGGAGUGGCAGACGGGUGAGUAACACGUGGGAACAUACCCUUUGGUUCGGAACAACUCAGGGAAACUUGAGCUAAUACCGGAUAAGUGCGAGAGCAGAAAGAUUUAUCGCCGAAGGAUUGGCCCGCGUCUGAUUAGCUUGUUGGUGAGGUAACGGCUCACCAAGGCGACGAUCAGUAGCUGGUCUGAGAGGAUGAUCAGCCACAUUGGGACUGAGACACGGCCCAA
rnacentral:rRNA from 1 species